rnacentral:rRNA from 1 species
GAUGAACGCUGGCGGCGUGCCUAAUACAUGCAAGUCGAGCGAACAGACGAGGAGCUUGCUCCUCUGACGUUAGCGGCGGACGGGUGAGUAACACGUGGAUAACCUACCUAUAAGACUGGGAUAAAUUCGGGAAACCGGAGCUAAUACCGGAUAAUAUAUUGAACCGCAUGGUUCAAUAGUGAAAGACGGUUUUGCUGUCACUUAUAGAUGGAUCCGCGCCGCAUUAGCUAGUUGGUAAGGUAACGGCUUACCAAGGCAACGAUGCGUAGCCGACCUGAGAGGGUGAUCCGCCACACUGGAACUGAGACACGGUCCAGACUCCUACGGGAGGCAGCAGUAGGGAAUCUUCCGCAAUGGGCGAAAGCCUGACGGAGCAACGCCGCGUGAGUGAUGAAGGUCUUCGGAUCGUAAAACUCUGUUAUUAGGGAAGAACAAAUGUGUAAGUAACUAUGCACGUCUUGACGGUACCUAAUCAGAAAGCCACGGCUAACUACGUG